ensembl:lncRNA
CAAAAAGUAAAGAAUAACUCGAAGGAAGGAGUGGAUGGCAAGAAAUACAGAGAAAGCAGUGCAUAGCACAGCAGAGCAAAGCAAGGCAAAUAGCAGCCAAAGCCACGAGAAUCAAGAAGUCAGUGAAGAGCAGGAAAGGAAUGGAGGAAUCUGUCCAGAGCUGUGCCCCUGCUUGCCACAGGAGCUGCGCGGGAGGAGAAGAACGUGGGCCAAAAGGAAUGGAGGAAUCUGUCCAGAGCUGUGCCCCUGCUUGGCCACAGGAGCUGCGCGGGAGGAGAAGAACGUGGGCCAAAAGGUAAGAGGAGCUCCUUUGGGUUCUGGGCUUGAAGCAAAGCUGAGAAGCCAUGCCCGGGAGGAGGUGUGGGUAGCUACAGGCCACCUUGCUAUCUCCCCAAGAGAUGAGGUGUGGGCUAGGCACCGGGCAGGAGUGCUGGCCAGAAGCAAGCAUCUCUGUGGAGGAAGGCAAAGGGCGGAGGAGGUUCAAGGGUAGCUACCGGGCAUGGCCUUGCUCAGCAAGGGGAGGAAAAGCCUGAAGGGCACGAGAAGGGGAUAGAGAAGGGCAGGCAGUAGGCGUGAAGCUGCGAGCAGAGUAGAGAGCAACUUGGCAGAGCAGCAAGCAGAGUAGGCAAGUGUUGAGGUUUGGCGUGAGUAGCAGCAGCAAAAGCCCAGAGCAUCAAGAAGCAGGAAGUGAGGAGAAGGUAAGUGAAGGGCAGGCAAGGUAAUGGGAGGCAAAGGCAAG